CUGUACAGAGAAUUCUGUGCAAGAGACGAGACAUCAACGUUUCUGAUCCAGGCGAAAUCAUGCAACAAUAUUUUAUUGUCAUGGGAUAGCCAUAAUCCAAGUACAUGUCUAAUGUGAAAACAGAGGAAAGAGCUUGAUGCCCUUCCAGCUGUAGAGUUUGUGGCUUCGGUUGGCUAGCUCAGUGAGAAGAAGUUAGCCAGCCGGCAGAGCAACCAAUUUUAUGAUUUAUUUGUAUUAUUAUUUUUAUUAGCCAUAGAAACCAAAUGUUUUUGCAUAGAUGAACGUAUUGUUUUUAUUUAUUUUUAGUUUUCGUCCUCUGAUAGAUGAAAUAGUAUAAAUGUAUUUAUUAAAACGGCAGAACGCAUCACAAGCGUAUGUAAGUUAAGUGAAUGUGCAGCUUUUGUGAUUGGACAGUAAAGAUUCUAUGCGUUGUUCUAAAAUCUCCCAUAGCCCAGGCCUGACGAGGCUCUUAGCCCUGGGCUAAGGUUGGUGUGAAUAUUUGCUUAGGCCUGGGCUAAAAAUCUCCCAUAGCCCAGGCCUGACGAGGCUCUUAGCCCUGGGCUAAGGUUGGUGUGAAUAUUCGCUUAGGCCUGGGCUAAAAUCUCCCAUAGCCCAGGCCUGACGAGGCUCUUAGCCCUGGGCUAAGGUUGGUGUGAAUAUUCGCUUAGGCCUGGGCUAAAAUCUCCCAUAGCCCAGGCCUGACGAGGCUCUUAGCCCUGGGCUAAGGUGCAGUGUGAAUGCAUCUUUUCUAUGUGAAAGUUGGAACAAGUGUGUGUUCUUUCAAUCACAAAAUCUCCUUUUGUCAUUAAAGAUUUUUUUUUUCUCUCAACUAUCUCAGUCAUUGUUUCUCCUCUUUUUUGCCUUGUUCUGUCUGUUUCUAUAUAUUGUUAUUCUGCCUCCUCACUGAUACAAUAUUUUUUUAAAGUAUUUAAAAAAAGGCUCUUCCUAAGUUUCCUGUACGUUUCUAGCUAUGACAUGACAAGAAGUGUUAUAAGGCAGUAUUAGUAAAGCCACAUUACUACCGGAGGUGUUUUAUAAGGCUUUGUUUAUAACGUGUGUUCAGUACAAAAUAUAAUCCAACUCCUCAUGCCUUUUUUUUAAAAGGUUUGAUGCAUAUUAAAAU
ensembl:lncRNA